rnacentral:rRNA from 1 species
CCUACGGGUGGCAGCAGUGGGGAAUAUUGGACAAUGGGCGAAAGCCUGAUCCAGCCAUGCCGCGUGUGUGAAGAAGGCCUUCGGGUUGUAAAGCACUUUCAGUGGGGAAGAAAGCCUUGGGGCUAAUACCCUCGAGGAAGGACAUCACCCACAGAAGAAGCACCGGCUAACUCCGUGCCAGCAGCCGCGGUAAUACGGAGGGUGCGAGCGUUAAUCGGAAUUACUGGGCGUAAAGCGCGCGUAGGCGGUCUGAUAAGCCGGUUGUGAAAGCCCCGGGCUCAACCUGGGAACGGCAUCCGGAACUGUCAGGCUAGAGUGCAGGAGAGGAAGGUAGAAUUCCCGGUGUAGCGGUGAAAUGCGUAGAGAUCGGGAGGAACACCAGUGGCGAAGGCGGCCUUCUGGACUGACACUGACGCUGAGGUGCGAAAGCGUGGGUAGCAAACAGGAUUAGAUACCCCAGUAGUC